GUGACUCUGUCUUCUAUUGUCUGUGAUUUCAUUUUCUUGAUUUUCGUUUUCUGGGUUAUGAGAUUUCUGUUUGUACUUGGAUUCAGAUUACUUUAUUGAUUAAUUUAUUUUCAAUUAAUUUUUCUGAUUUUAGUUUACAAAUGGGUCUAAACUUCACCUAAAAAUCAAUUGGUUAGGUUUUCCCCUUUCUGUUUGGUCUAUCUUCUAUCUUAUGUUUACCAUUUUUUUUUUUGGUAAAUGAAAGCAAAAGGAUCUUCUCUCGCUGAAUUUGAAAGAAAAAAAUGUUCAUCUCAUAUACGUGAUUAAUUGCAUUUGCAUUUUUAGCACUAAGGUUUUAGUGUGUGUAAAAUAUGAAUGAAGCAUCAAUAUUCUCUAUUUCUUUUUCUUGUUUUAAAGCAACUUUGUGGAAGGUUUAAGGUUUUGGCCCAACCUUCCGGUGGGUACUUCAAAAGUUUCAUUGUUCUUGUCAUAACUCUGUCUCAAUCUCUACUGCUCGAUCUCCAUUUCUCAGCUGAAGCCCUUGAUUGAUGUUUGCUAACCCGCUCUAUGUCGAUCUCUCACUGCUCUAUCUUGAUCUCUCACUGCUCUAUCUUGAUCUCUCACUGCUUGAUCUCCAUCUCAGCUGCAAGACUCCUCUACCCUGUCUCGAUCUCUCACUGCUCGAUCUCCAUUUCUCAGCUGAAGCCCUUGAUUGAUGUUUACUAACUCGUCUCUCUUUCGGCAUUCUCUCAUCUGAGAUUACAAAUUUGAAGCCCUAGGCUUCUCUUCAGGCUGUCUCUCCUCUGUCUCGUCUCUCAUCUGUCUCGAUCUCUCAGCAAUUUCUGAGUAAGUUCCAAUCCAUAAGCAAAUUUCUUUUUUUAAUGUUUUUUUUUCUUUUAUGAAAUGAAUUUUUGGUUUGAAUUUUUUUUUUUAUUUUAUUUCCAAACGAAUUUUUCGUACUUAGUAUAUAUAUAUAUAUAUAGUUGAUCUUUUACUGUACAUAAGAUUUUUUAUAAUACAGACUUUGGUUAGGAUUGUUUUAGUUUCUCUCUGUAAGACUAUUUUGAUGUUUGGUUGCUUUGGUUAGGAUUGCUUUUUAUAUCUAUAUUCAUAUUUAUAUUAGCAUUGAUGUUUGACUGGGUUUAGAAAAAUAAUUCAAAACCACAAAACGGUCUAAUUUUAAUUUAUCUACACAUGUUGUUUCAAAUUUUCUGAUAAUCAGACAUAGUCACCUUCUAAAAGUCAUAUAUUACUAAAAAAAUAAUUUUUAAUAAAAAAAGAAAAAGAAAAAAGAACACUGAACCAGCAAGUAGAGAACAUCAGUUGUGGGUUAAAUUAAAUUCAAUUAAAAUCACUUUUGAGAUUGAUAGUGAAAGUUUAAUUAUAAUUCGCUCCUUAGAAUCACUGAUAGUUAAAUAUAUAUUUAUAUAUAUAUAUACAUAUCUAUUGUUGAAAAUUAUAGGAAUGAAAUAGGAAAUUAAAUAGUGGGAAGCUUUUUGCAUUAUAGGCUUAACUGGGGAAAUAUAUUUAUCUUCCUCAGUUGAUAAAAUUAAGUAUUCCGCUAAUUAAAGAGAAACUUACCCUCCAACAUAUAUCUUUUCAGCCAGGAUAAAAGAGCCCAUGAUUGCCACUAUGAUCAUCAUCAGAGGGCUGAAAGCAGUCAUAAAGACAGGCCCCCUUUUCUGCAUGACCAGACCUUGUACAUAGUAUGCAAUGCUUGAUGACACUAUACCUUGUAGGUCAUUAAAAAGUUAAUUUUUUAUAUAGUUUACUAUUUCAUACGUGUGUAUAUAUAUAUAUAUAUAUAUAUAUAUAUAUAGGGAAUGCUUACAGCAUAGGCAGCAGCUAGAAGGUUCAUGUCCCAGCCAAUGGUCCAAACAGAUGGAUUGUGUUCCAUGACAAAAGUGAUAGCAAUAUUAAAGACCCAAAUAGGGAAUCCCACAAAACUGACUAUAUAUUAAAAUUAUUCCUUAUGAGUUUCAUUAGUUCAUUAAUAUAUUAUUUUGUAGCAUGCACAUGUACGCUUCCCAUGAAAACUGAUUUAGUUUUUUUGCGUGCUUAUAUAUGUUUAAUAUGUUUUAAUCUAUUCUUGGCACAUUAUUGUAUAAGUGCAAUCAACGAUUUUACCAAAACAGAAUGGUUUUAUAUAAUUUCCAUUGGACAACCAUAAAUAUCCUAAAGUUUUGAGGUAUUUGUUAUUUCUUUUUAUUGGUUUUUCCUGGAUCGCUUUUUUUAACAAUUUGAUUGCAUUCUCUUAACUGAUUCUCACUUUUUUUGGAGGCUUUUCCAAGAAGGAUAAAUAAUAAGCUGACAAUGAAACGAACGGUUAGUGAAGUGGAAAAAGUGAGUGAACAAAAUACCGAAGCUUCAACUUUAAAAUCAUCACAACCACCGCCGAAGAAGAGACGGGGCCCGACACGAUGCAAGAAUGUCAUGAACGCGACAACCUUAUUACCUUUAAGGUUAAUAAGUUUGGAUAGCCGAUCGGUCCUGGAAAUGGUACAUAUACUAAUUUUUUGGGAACACUUGCCUGGAAGGGUAAAUUAGCUCCUUUGUGCUACAAAACUUGGUGGGAGAUGCCUAAACGGCUGAAGGAGGAUAUGUGGAAUAUUGUAAAGGGAAAAUAUGAUGUGGGAAUCAUGUCAAAACAGUGGACAUUAUCCUCCAUCGGAAAAAAAAUGGAGGGGUACAAGUGUGAAUUAAAAAAUGAAUACUACUCGGUUAAGGAUACCGAUGAAGAAAGAUUGGCAAACCCACCACCUGAUGUUGAAAAGGAGCAUUAGGAAUUUUUGGUUAGGCAUUGGGGUACGCUUAUGGCGAAGGAGGUCAGCAAAAAAAUAAAGAACGUUGUGGGAAGCAGACAAUGAUGCAUACUACAGGGAUAAAAAGCUUUGCACGUGUUUCUGCCGAGGAAAACAUAAGAGAACUUCAAAAAAGUUACUCUGACUAGCCUAUUGGCAGUUCCAAUGAUUUGUUCUCCAUUGUGAGAGGAAAAAAGAGAACUGGUCGUGUGCGGAUGCUUGGCUUCGGGCCUACACCAAGCGAUGUUUGGGGGCCCUCUCCUAGUAAAGCUAAACUGAUUAAUAAUGUCAAAAAAUCUCAGGAGGAGGCACGUGCUGCACGUGUAGAGUUGCAGGAGACGAUUUCAAAAAUGCAAGCCGAUUAUGACAACAAGUUGGAAAAUUUAAGAGCCAACUACGACAACAAGUUGGAAAAUUUACAACAACAGUUGGCUAUGCUAAUGCAGAUGCAACAACAAAAUUGUAGUGGACAGGGUUCUGAUUCUUUAAAUGCUCCUCCUAGAGUAUCCCCAAAUUCAUUUUCUAGUCUUGAUGGCAAUUCAAUUAAGGGUAAUUCAAAUCAAAUUGGCAAGAAGACUUGUUGAAGUUGAAUUUGGAGCUGAAGAUGGGGUCGUGGUUGUGCUUUUUGAAUUUCCUUCCCCUUGGAUGGGUCCUUUUUGAAAAACUUGUACUACAUUUGUCAAAAAUUCUUAAUUCUUUUUGUGUGACAUUUAGUAGCUUUAUCUAGACAAUUUGGAUGGUAUUUUCAUAUUGGCGGGUUAACUUGUGGUUGUAUUAGUAUACAUUUUGGCUUUUUGGUUGACAUUUACCAGCUUUAUCAAUUAGUAGCCAAUUUCGAUGGUAUUUUUUAUAUUGGUAGCAGGUUAACUUGUGGUUGUAUUAUGUAAGAACAAUUUGGAUGGUAUUUUUAUAUUGAUUUGUGUUAUAUUGGAUGACAUUUAGUAGCUGUAAACAAAAAAAAAAAAAAAAAAAUGA